rnacentral:rRNA from 1 species
CCCCCUCGGUGGGGGCCGGGCACGACAGAAAAGUUACCCCGGGGAUAACAGAGUCGUCGCGGGCGAGAGCCCCCAUCGACCCCGCGGUUUGCUACCUCGAUGUCGGCUCUUCCCAUCCUGGCGGUGCAGCAGCCGCCAAGGGUGGGGCUGCUCGCCCAUUAAAGGGGAACGUGAGCUGGGUUCAGACCGUCGUGAGACAGGUCGGUCUCUACCCGCGGGGGGUGUCGGCCGCCUGAGGGGAAGGUGCCCCUAGUACGAGAGGAACGGGGCGCCGCGGCCUCUAGUGUACCGGUUGUCCGGCAGGGCAGAGCCGGGCAGCCACGCCGCAGUGGGGUAACCGCUGAAAGCAUCUAAGCGGGAACCCCUCCCCGAAAAGAGGCGGCCAUCCGCCCCGAAAGGGGCGGCGAGGGCUCCCGUAGAAGACGGGGUUGAUGGGGCGGGGGUGUAAGCUCCAAGGGGGCUCGGCCCCCGAGGAGUUCAGCCCGCCGCUCCCAAUCGCCCGAGGCCGCAGGGGU